UACGGAAGGCAGCAGUGGGGAAUAUUGCACAAUGGGCGAAAGCCUGAUGCAGCUAUGCCGCGUGUAUGAAGAAGGCCUUAGGGUUGUAAAGUACUUUCAUCGGGGAGGAAAAAACAAAACUAAUAAUUUUAUUUCUUGACGUUACCCGAAAAAGAAGCACCGGCUAACUCCGUGCCAGCAGCCGCGGUAAUACGGAGGGUGCUAGCGUUAAUCAGAAUUACUGGGCGUAAAGAGCACGUAGGUGGUUUUUUUAAGUCAGAUGUGAAAUCCCUGGGCUUAACCUAGGAACUGCAUUUGAAACUGAAAUACUAGAGUAUCGUAGAGGGAGGUAGAAUUCUAGGUGUAGCGGUGAAAUGCGUAGAUAUCUGGAGGAAUACCUGUGGCGAAAGCGGCCUCCUAAACGAAUACUGACACUGAGGUGCGAAAGCGUGGGGAGCAAACAGGGAUUAGAUACC
rnacentral:rRNA from 1 species